CCUACGGGUGGCAGCAGUGAGGAAUAUUGCUCAAUGGCCGUAAGGCUGAUCCAGCCAAGUAGCGUGAGGGAAGACUGCCCUACGGGUUGUAAACUUCGUCUGUAAGGGCGAUAUUGGCUCCACGCGUGGGCUUAGCGAGAGUAACUGAAGAAACAGCAUCCGCUAACUACGUGCCAGCAGCCGCGGUAAUACGGAGGAUUCGAGCGUUAUCCGGGUUGAUUGGGGUUAAAGGGAGCGUAGAUGGGUUGUUAAGUCAGUUGUGAAAGUUUGCGGCUCAACCGGAGAAUUGCAAUUGAUACUGGCAGUCUUGAGUACAGUUGAGGUAGGUGGAAUUCGUGGUGUAGCGGUGAAAUGCUUAGAGAUCACGAAGAACCCCGAUUGCGAAGGCAGCUUACUAAACUGUGACUGACAUUGAUGCUCGAAAGUGUGGGGAUCAAACAGGAUUAGAUACCCGUGUAGUC
rnacentral:rRNA from 1 species